rnacentral:rRNA from 1 species
CCUACGGGGGGCUGCAGUGGGGAAUAUUGGACAAUGGGGGCAACCCUGAUCCAGCCAUGCCGCGUGUGUGAAGAAGGCCCUCGGGUUGUAAAGCACUUUCAGUGAGGAAGAACGCCUGGUGGUUAAUACCCAUCAGGAAAGACAUCACUCACAGAAGAAGCACCGGCUAACUCCGUGCCAGCAGCCGCGGUAAUACGGAGGGUGCGAGCGUUAAUCGGAAUUACUGGGCGUAAAGCGCGCGUAGGUGGCUUGAUAAGCCGGUUGUGAAAGCCCCGGGCUCAACCUGGGAACGGCAUCCGGAACUGUCAAGCUAGAGUGCAGGAGAGGAAGGUAGAAUUCCCGGUGUAGCGGUGAAAUGCGUAGAGAUCGGGAGGAAUCCCAGUGGCGAAGGCGGCCUUCUGGACUGACACUGACACUGAGGUGCGAAAGCGUGGGUAGCAAACAGGAUUAGAUACCCUAGUAGUC